rnacentral:misc_RNA from 1 species
GUAACAAGGUCUCCGUAGGUGAACCUGCGGAGGGAUCAUUACACAAUAAAAUACGAAGGCCGUUCGCGGCUGGACUAUUUAUUACCCUUGUCUUUUGCGCACUUGUUGUUUCCUGGGCGGGUUCGCUCGCCACCAGGACCACAAUAUAAACCUUUUUUAUGCAGUUGCAAUCAGCGUCAGUAUAACAAAUGUAAAUCAUUUACAACUUUCAACAACGGAUCUCUUGGUUCUGGCAUCGAUGAAGAACGCAGCGAAAUGCGAUACGUAGUGUGAAUUGCAGAAUUCAGUGAAUCAUCGAAUCUUUGAACGCACAUUGCGCCCUUUGGUAUUCCAAAGGGCAUGCCUGUUCGAGCGUCAUUUGUACCCUCAAGCUUUGCUUGGUGUUGGGCGUUUUUGUCCCCCCCAAAAAGGGGACUCGCCUUAAAAGGAUUGGCAGCCGGCCUACUGGUUUCGCAGCGCAGCACAUUUUUGCGCUUGCAAUCAGCAAAAGAGGACGGCAAUCCAUCAAGACUCCUUCUCACGUUUGACCUCGGAUCAGGUAGGGAUACCCGCUGAACCUAAGCAUAUCA